CAAGAGUAUUCAGUUGGCUUUUUUGGCCCUGAAAUCUCCACCCUUUGUUUACACUACCUUUUGUUGUUGCCUCGGUGGGUGCCACCAUACACCUGCCGGCAGACACCUUCAAAAAACUCUUUUUAUAUACUAUAGUCAGAGCUGUAACAAGCAAAAAGAUUAAUAAAUCA
rnacentral:misc_RNA from 1 species